UGAGUAAUGUCUGGGAAACUGCCCGAUGGAGGGGGAUAACUACUGGAAACGGUAGCUAAUACCGCAUAACGUCUUCGGACCAAAGUGGGGGACCUUCGGGCCUCACACCAUCGGAUGUGCCCAGAUGGGAUUAGCUAGUAGGUGGGGUAAUGGCUCACCUAGGCGACGAUCCCUAGCUGGUCUGAGAGGAUGACCAGCCACACUGGAACUGAGACACGGUCCAGACUCCUACGGGAGGCAGCAGUGGGGAAUAUUGCACAAUGGGCGCAAGCCUGAUGCAGCCAUGCCGCGUGUAUGAAGAAGGCCUUCGGGUUGUAAAGUACUUUCAGUGGGGAGGAAGGCGUUAAGGUUAAUAGCCUUGGCGAUUGACGUUACCCGCAGAAGAAGCACCGACUAACUCCGUGCCAGCAGCCGCGGUAAUACGGAGGGUGCAAGCGUUAAUCGGAAUUACUGGGCGUAAAGCGCACGCAGGCGGUCUGUCAAGUCGGAUGUGAAAUCCCCGGG
rnacentral:rRNA from 1 species